UAAAUGGAGAGGAGAGGGGAGGGGUCGAUGGAUUACGGAACAUGCGUGGGAAGCAAGGACAACAGGUCGAUGCGAGGUGCAGGAAGAAGGGGAGGAGUGUGUUGGCAUCACUGGGGGAGACUAACAAGAGGAAAGGUUCAGUAAGAAUAUAGAGCUAAGGAGGAGAAUCUAGCGGGGUAGGGGUGGGAGAAGGGUGAUAGGGCCGGCAGGUGCGUUUCCAGGGUCAAUCAAUGGCGGCGCGAAGCAGGCUGCGUGCAUGGAGAGGCACCAUGGCGACACUGACUAGAACUAUCGAUCCUCCCCCGCCUCACUACACCGCCGCCGCUGCCGACACCACCACCACCAACCACCACCACCACCACCAUUACCCACCACCAUCGUUGUCUCCACCACCGCCAGGCAGGCUCUGUCUCUUCACUGCGCCCUGCAGUUCUUUGCCGCGGUCGGCCGCUCCGCCACAGCACAGCGCCGCAUCUGUUGACGGCUCUGCUCCCUCCUCCCUUCUCUCUCUUCGCCUCAGAUGCUGGCGUUCUCUCGUCCCUUCCCGCUGGUCCAUUCACUCACACUCCCAGAGUUCUACAGGCGGCGGUAGUGGCGACGACAGCCAUAGGAAACUCGCAGUCAGGCUAAUCACUCGGAACCCAAGGAUGCCAGGAAAGCGCUGCUGGUGACGUGCAGCUUGCUACCCGGUUACCCUCUACCCGCACGCUCGCUCGGAAUGGAUUUUCGUGUUUCUGCGCCGACGACCUGUCCUGCAACGAGCUGGUGAUCUGAUCGUGUCAGUUGGACGACCCCCGUCAUCGUGUGGAUGACGUCUGCUGUGGCGUCUGCGCAUGUGCAGUGGAGGGUGCAUGUGCGCGCGUGUUUGUGAGUGAGUGGAAUGACAGGAGAGGUGCACCACCAGCACGGAGAGGUUUGUCUGAGGAGUCUUGUCUCCCUGACAGGAGAUCGCCUCGGUCGACGGCGCUGCGCAAGAGGAGCCCACCGGAUGUAGUAGCAUCGUGUCCCGGAAGUGCUUCAGUGUGUCGCCGGCCUACAUAGUAGUGGACCAAACACUGUUUGUAUUCCUAGCUCACUACGUGAUGUCUACGUCGCCAGUUUCUGUUUGCAGACUGUGACGACUCACACCACGCCCUCAGAAAUCAAGACUGUUCGUACCAGGCGGUUCUCGAUUCCUUGAGAUUUUCUCGUUACGAACAAACAACUUGAGAGAGAGAGGGCAACAGAGAGAGACCCGAGGAUACACUACUGGGAUACCUGUGUGAGUGUUUUGUCGACUCAUCUCUCCGCCUCAGUUGGAGGAUCAUGUGCUCAGUUGCUCACCAUGCCGCCCGUUAGCCUGUCUUGGUUCCUGCUCCUGUCUGCUGUCUUCACCGCAGCGGCCGAGGAAUAAUGGAAGGCGUGGUUCCGGGCUGGCGGCUGAGACUGAAGUGAUUUUUCUCGGAGCGCUGCUUCCGCUCGCGAGAGUUUGCGUGAGUCGCCUGUAUAAUUCGCCUUCCUGCGUGCGGAGGAAUUCAAAAUGACCGCUAAGGGCAGGAUCAAAUGAGACUGUCAGUUGCUGGGGGAGAGGGGGAUGAACAGUGCACGCCGAGAAACUUCCAAGAAAGCCAUUGUCCGAAUUUCUGAAGAGCUGUGUUUCCCCCACACUCACAUCUUCGGAAGAGGGUUAGACAGGAUCAGUGAGAGGAGCUUAUGUUAUAAACAAAUGUCAUCUGUUGUUGACAAUGUUUCUCAAACAAAAGGCUGCACACACACAUAUAUAUAUGUAAUAUGCGUGGUAAACAUCUCUUUGUCCCUCCUUUUUAUAGAUAUAUCUGUAUAUAAAUCUGUCUCUAUAUCUAUGUAUAAAGAGAGAUUCGUCUAGUUUAUUGGUAUUUAGGUAAAGUCAAUCAAGGCAAUUCUUAUUUGGGUCCCUCGAGGUAUUUUGUGUUCAUGCAUCUUAAGAUAAUUCUUAUUUAUACAUCUGAAUAUAUUUGUAACUUUCAACUCUCGAAUAACGGAGGACUUCGCUUUGAAGAGAAGAUGGACAAAAAAAAAAAAACAACAAACAACAAUAACAAAAAAACAAAACCAAAAAAAAAAA